rnacentral:rRNA from 1 species
GACGAACGCUGGCGGCGUGCUUAACACAUGCAAGUCGAACGCUGAAGCUCAGCUUUUGUUGGGUGGAUGAGUGGCGAACGGGUGAGUAACACGUGAGUAACCUGCCCCCUUCUUUGGGAUAACGCCCGGAAACGGGUGCUAAUACUGGAUAUUCACUGGUCUUCGCAUGGGGGUGGGUGUAAGGGGUUUUCCGGGGGGGGGUUGGGCUCGCGCCCCUUCGGCUUGUUGUUGGGGUGUUGGCCUCCCAAGGCUUUGACGGUUAGCCGGCCUGGGGGGGUGACCGGUCACAUUGGGACUGAGAUACGGCCCAGACUCCUACGGGAGGCAGCAGUGGGGAAUAUUGCACAAUGGGCGCAAGCCUGAUGCAGCGACGCCGCGUGAGGGAUGGAGGCCUUCGGGUUGUGAACCUCUUUCGCUCAUGGUCAAGCCGCAACAAUGGUUGUGGUGAGGGUAGUGGGUAAAGAAGCGCCGGCUAACUACGUG